rnacentral:other from 1 species
CGGAUGCUGUGAGGUGCGACAAGGACCAUAUUUCCGGGGCCUUAUCGAUCCAAACGGGAGCUGUCCCUGACCUCGCCCCUGGGCUUGGCCACAUGGCGCCCACCUACGCUGUAGGUUCCCGGAUCGAGCGCCUUGGCGGCCAUCGCGGCUCCGC